rnacentral:rRNA from 1 species
GGAUCAAUACGUCGGUCGUGCUUCGGUACGUACUGGCGUAAUUGACUUCUCCCUUCUGACGAACCAUGAUGCCAUUAAUUUGGUGUUGCGGGGAAUUUGGACUGUUACUUUGAAAAAAUUAGAGUGUUUAAAGCAAGCUAACGCUUGAAUACAUUAGCAUGGAAUAAUGAAAUAGGACGUUCGAUCCUAUUUUGUUGGUUUCUAGGAUUGACGUA